rfam:Tetranychus urticae London genomic scaffold, scaffold_6
UCACCCUGACCAGUGGUGAGGUGAGCAAAGGCUUGGGAUGACAAUCCAAAGGUCUGCGGAUCGAACCCGGUCAGGGAAG